AACGAACGCUGGCGGCAGGCCUAACACAUGCAAGUCGAGCGCACCCUUCGGGGCGAGCGGCGGACGGGUUAGUAACGCGUGGGAACGUACCCUUUUCUACGGAAUAGCCUCGGGAAACUGAGAGUAAUACCGUAUAAGCCCUUCGGGGGAAAGAUUUAUCGGUAAAGGAUCGGCCCGCGUUAGAUUAGAUAGUUGGUGGGGUAAUGGCCUACCAAGUCUACGAUCUAUAGCUGGUUUUAGAGGAUGAUCAGCAACACUGGGACUGAGACACGGCCCAGACUCCUACGGGAGGCAGCAGUGGGGAAUCUUAGACAAUGGGCGCAAGCCUGAUCUAGCCAUGCCGCGUGUGUGAUGAAGGCCUUAGGGUCGUAAAGCACUUUCGCCAGGGAUGAUAAUGACAGUACCUGGUAAAGAAACCCCGGCUAACUCCGUGCCAGCAGCCGCGGUAA
rnacentral:rRNA from 1 species